rnacentral:misc_RNA from 1 species
GUGAUUGUGAAAUCGUUGCCUUCAGUGCUGGCUCCGGCAAGUGCACGUUGGUGACUUUCAUCCAACACCCUGUGCACCUUUGGCCUCUUGCUGGCUUCGGCUGGCAGAGGAUUUUUACACACCCACUCGCAUGUAAUGAAAUUAUUGUCGUGCGCAAGCACUACUGUA